rnacentral:rRNA from 1 species
AUGGGAUUCAAGGAUAAAUAUGACAUCUGGAACACCAUAAAGCUCUUCCAUCUACUCCCAAAUUGCAUCACACUCUUGGGCAUUGACACUGAGCCUCGUGAUGAGAAGACAUAUAGAUCUUCCUCAAGUACCAGUAGGAAGACAAUCUGCAUGUCAAAGAACUCCCGGAAUAAAAUUGCCAUACAAUCAACAAAGUGGAUGGCAUAUCAGAAAUGCCUGGGUCAGGUUUGCCACGAGGCAAUGCACAGUGUGAAAUAUAUGAUCUUACAUAUCUAUAAAAUCUGGAAAAAUACAUGUAUCCACUUCAAAUUCUGA